GCCCGGCUAGCUCAAUGGCAGAGCGCUGAACUUCUACUAUGUUAUCUUUAAUUAAUAACUGGUGUUAUUCAGAGGCUGGGGGUUCGAGUCCCCCGUUGGGCU